UAUGGCCAUACCAUGUUGAAACACUGGUUCUGAUCUGAUCACCAAAGUUAAGCAACAUUGAACCUGGUCAGUACCUAGAUGGGUGACCACUUGGGAAUAUCAAGUUCUGUA